rnacentral:rRNA from 1 species
AGAGUUUGAUCCUGGCUCAGAUUGAACGCUGGCGGAAUGCUUUACACAUGCAAGUCGAACGGUAGAGGGGGCAACCCCUUGAGAGUGGCGAACGGGUGAGUAAUGUAUCGGAACGUGCCCAGUCGUGGGGGAUAACGUAGUGAAAAUUACGCUAAUACCGCAUACGAUCUAUGGAUGAAAGCGGGGGAUCGCAAGACCUCGCGCGAUUGGAGCGGCCGAUAUCAGAUUAGGUAGUUGGUAGGGUAAAGGCCUACCAAGCCAACGAUCUGUAGCUGGUCUGAGAGGACGACCAGCCACACUGGAACUGAGACACGGUCCAGACUCCUACGGGAGGCAGCAGUGGGGAAUUUUGGACAAUGGACGCAAGUCUGAUCCAGCCAUUCCGCGUGCAGGAUGAAGGCCCUCGGGUUGUAAACUGCUUUUGUACGGAACGAAAAGGUCUCUCUUAAUACGGGGGGCUCAUGACGGUACCGUAAGAAUAAGCACCGGCUAACUACGUGCCAGCAGCCGCGGUAAUACGUAGGGUGCAAGCGUUAAUCGGAAUUACUGGGCGUAAAGCGUGCGCAGGCGGUUAUAUAAGACAGAUGUGAAAUCCCCGGGCUCAACCUGGGAACUGCAUUUGUGACUGUAUAGCUAGAGUACGGUAGAGGGGGAUGGAAUUCCGCGUGUAGCAGUGAAAUGCGUAGAUAUGCGGAGGAACACCGAUGGCGAAGGCAAUCCCCUGGACCUGUACUGACGCUCAUGCACGAAAGCGUGGGGAGCAAACAGGAUUAGAUACCCUGGUAGUCCACGCCCUAAACGAUGUCAACUGGUUGUUGGGUCUUAACUGACUCAGUAACGAAGCUAACGCGUGAAGUUGACCGCCUGGGGAGUACGGCCGCAAGGUUGAAACUCAAAGGAA